rnacentral:rRNA from 1 species
AGAGUUUGAUCCUGGCUCAGGACGAACGCUGGCGGCGUGCCUAACACAUGCAAGUCGAGCGGAGACAGUGAGUAGCUUGCUAUGAGCUGUUUUAGCGGCGGACGGGUGAGUAACGCGUGAGCAACCUUUCCCAGACAGGGGAAUAACACACCGAAAGGUGUACUAAUACCGCAUAAGACCACGGGAUCACAUGGUUCUGAGGUAAAAGAUUUAUCGGUUUGGGGUGGGCUCGCGUCCGAUUAGGUAGUUGGUGAGGUAACGGCCCACCAAGCCGACGAUCGGUAGCCGACCUGAGAGGGUGAUCGGCCACAUUGGGACUGAGACACGGCCCAAACUCCUACGGGAGGCAGCAGUGGGGAAUAUUGGGCAAUGGAGGAAACUCUGACCCAGCAACGCCGCGUGGAGGAAGAAGGUUUUCGGAUCGUAAACUCCUGUCCUUGGAGACGAGUAGAAGACGGUAUCCAAGGAGGAAGCCCCGGCUAACUACGUGCCAGCAGCCGCGGUAAUACGUAGGGGGCAAGCGUUGUCCGGAAUAAUUGGGCGUAAAGGGCGCGUAGGCGGCUCGGUAAGUCUGGAGUGAAAGUCCUGCUUUUAAGGUGGGAAUUGCUUUGGAUACUGUCGGGCUUGAGUGCAGGAGAGGUUAGUGGAAUUCCCAGUGUAGCGGUGAAAUGCGUAGAGAUUGGGAGGAACACCAGUGGCGAAGGCGACUAACUGGACUGUAACUGACGCUGAGGCGCGAAAGUGUGGGGAGCAAACAGGAUUAGAUACCCUGGUAGUCCACACUGUAAACGAUGAAUGCUAGGUGUAGGGGGUAUCGACCCCUUCUGUGCCGCAGUCAACACAAUAAGCAUUCCGCCUGGGGAGUACGGCCGCAAGGUUG